rnacentral:rRNA from 1 species
UACGAAGGGGGCUAGCGUUGUUCGGAAUUACUGGGCGUAAAGCGCGUGUAGGCGGGUCUUUAAGUCAGGGGUGAAAUGCCAAGGCUCAACCUUGGAACUGCCUUUGAUACUGGAGACCUUGAGUCCGGGAGAGGUGAGUGGAAUUGCGAGUGUAGAGGUGAGAUUCGUAGAUAUUCGCAAGAACACCAGUGGCGAAGGCGGCUCACUGGCCCGGAACUGACGCUGAGACGCGAAAGCGUGGGGAGCAAACAGG